rnacentral:lncRNA from 1 species
CCAGGGGCUGCAGUUUGAUUUUGCCACCUUUCCUUUUCGUUAACAAAAGUGCUAUUUGACAUAUAUUUUAUGUGUAGUUCCAUGAACUAAACUUCAUUUUGUUUGGGGAAUCUGGAAAGAAUCUCACACUUUGUUUGAGGCUCUACACAACAAAUCACUGGAUUGAAAUUCCUGCGGGGGGGGCAUUCUGGAAGGGACUUUGGACCCCGCUCAAGAAGUCAGUCCCCAAGAGUGGAGUCCAAUUCAGCAGAGAAUUCACGGACAGAAGAACAACACAGCAGGGCAGAGAGCCACAGAGCCACUAGCAGAUGUCAGGGAGAUGAAGAGAGGGGCCACAGUAAAAUAAGACUCUGGGAUGAAGGUAUGACCAGGACAAGGGCCAGGUAUGACCAGGCCAGUCUUCAGAGACCUGAGAUUAAACUUGAAUCACUGAAAGAAGAUAUUAAGGAAUUCUUUAAAAUAUCAGGUUGGGAGAAGAAACUUCAGAAUGCUGUUUAUAGUGAACUGAGUGUGUUUCCUUUACCUAGUCAUCCUGCUGCACCUCCUGAACAUCUUAAAGAACCUUUG